AGCUGGGGGUGGGUGGGGUGUUCCCCCUUUGUGAUGCUACCCCAGAACCCCAUUGCCAUGGCAGCCAGAGACAUGGGAUGAUUCUCUCCCCUCUGGCUUUCCCUUCUUGGAUUCUUCCUGAAUAUUUGAAUGCUCACAAGCACUGCUGAUCUACCAAGAUUUUCAGGAGACCAUAAAUCACCCUAAAUAGCCCAAGCCUGUGGGAGUUCCCUGUCUUUGGCCUGGAAUCUGCCAAGGCAGCUCAUGAAAGCUGAUGACCUUCCAGGAGGACAAAACCACAUCCCUGUCACCCAGCCCAGGCGUCUCGGAGCACAUCCUGCUGAACACAGACAGCUCUGAAGGCUUCAGUACCAACCUCCUGCUUUGCAAUGAGCCAUUCCCAGAUUCCCUGGUGCUGGAUCUUGCCUACCUGCCCUACUACAGAACCUCUCAUGUCUGUAUCAGCCCAUCUUCCCACUCUGCAUCAUCACACACCCUCACAGACGCAGAAGAAAGCUCCGAUGAAGGCAAGGCUGACACCAAGCAGGAUGAGAAAGUGAGUUAUUCAGCCACCUCCAC